UGGGCUGGGGCUCAGUGGCAGAGCAUUUGCCUGGCAGGUGAGAGGCACUGGGUUCGAUUCUCAGCACCUCAU
rnacentral:tRNA from 1 species